CAAGGGGUUUUCGAAAUAAUUGGAAAAAACCGAAAGAAAAUUGUAAGUAAAAUGGCAAAUAUUUACGGUGCUUCGCGGUGUUACCGUUUUCAUUGUGUUGUACUAUUUUCUACUAUAGAAACAUUACUUCAAUCGAAAAAUGACAAUACAUCGAUUUUGUUCCUUAUAAUAUUUUGCUACUGACGGGUUUUCGUAAUAAUUGGGGAAAACCAAAAAGGACGAAAUACAAAGUGUCCCGCACGAAGGUAUAUCACUUAAAUAUCUACGGAGAUAAUAAAGAUAAUCAAAUUCUGUUAUUGACAGGAUGAGGACUACAAAUAUUUAUAUUUCAAUUAAAUUUUUGUUUUUAAUAAAAAAUUUAAAAAGUAACUUUAUUUUAUUAUUUUUGGAAAAUUUGAAUUUAGGUAAGCGGUCCUCAAACUGUGGUUCGUGAAUCACUAGUGGUACGUAGUUGGCAACUUAGUGGUACGCAGGUCGAGUGACGAGUGAUACCCAUAGUAGUUAAUUAAUAAAUAUCUGUACAAAAGUUUUCACUGAAGCUAAUAUUAUUUUAUAUUUUUAAUUUUUAUAACGGUAGUUAAAGUAUAGUAUUUUACUGUCUCUUAUCAUUUUGAAACAACAGUUAAAUUUUCAGUCAUAACUUUAUUAGCUUAUUGGU